UAACGAUGAAGAGUUUGAUCCUGGCUCAGGAUGAACGCUAGCGGCAGGCCUAACACAUGCAAGUCGAGGGGUAGAAAUAGCUUGCUAUUUUGAGACCGGCGCACGGGUGCGUAACGCGUAUGCAAUCUACCUUAUACAGAGGGAUAGCCCAGAGAAAUUUGGAUUAAUAUCUCAUAGUAUUACUGAGUAGCAUUAUUUAGUAAUUAAAGUUUCGGCGGUAUAAGAUGAGCAUGCGUCCUAUUAGUUAGAUGGUGUGGUAACGGCGCACCAUGACUACGAUAGGUAGGGGUCCUGAGAGGGAGAUCCCCCACACUGGUACUGAGACACGGACCAGACUCCUACGGGAGGCAGCAGUGAGGAAUAUUGGUCAAUGGUCGGAAGACUGAACCAGCCAUGCCGCGUGCAGGAAGACUGCCCUAUGGGUUGUAAACUGCUUUUGUAUGGGAAGAAUAAGAGUUACGUGUAACUUGAUGACGGUACCAUACGAAUAAGGAUCGGCUAACUCCGUGCCAGCAGCCGCGGUAAUACGGAGGAUCCAAGCGUUAUCCGGAAUCAUUGGGUUUAAAGGGUCCGUAGGCGGGUCUAUAAGUCAGGGGUGAAAGUUUGCCGCUCAACGGUAAAAUUGCCUUUGAUACUGUAGGUCUUGAAUAUGUGUGAAGUGGUUAGAAUAUGUAGUGUAGCGGUGAAAUGCAUAGAUAUUACAUAGAAUACCGAUUGCGAAGGCAGAUCACUAACACAUCAUUGACGCUGAUGGACGAAAGCGUGGGGAGCGAACAGGAUUAGAUACCCUGGUAGUCCACGCCGUAAACGAUGGAUACUAGCUGUUCGGUCUUCGGAUUGAGUGGCUAAGCGAAAGUGAUAAGUAUCCCACCUGGGGAGUACGUUCGCAAGAAUGAAACUCAAAGGAAUUGACGGGGGCCCGCACAAGCGGUGGAGCAUGUGGUUUAAUUCGAUGAUACGCGAGGAACCUUACCAGGGCUUAAAUGUAGUCUGACAGGACCAGAGAUGGUUUUUUCUUCGGACAGAUUACAAGGUGCUGCAUGGUUGUCGUCAGCUCGUGCCGUGAGGUGUCAGGUUAAGUCCUAUAACGAGCGCAACCCCUGCCGUUAGUUACCAGCAUGUU
rnacentral:rRNA from 1 species